AUUGAACGCUGGCGGCAUGCCUUACACAUGCAAGUCGAACGGUAACGGGCCUUCGGGUGCCGACGAGUGGCGAACGGGUGAGUAAUACAUCGGAACGUGCCCGAUCGUGGGGGAUAACGAGGCGAAAGCUUUGCUAAUACCGCAUACGAUCUACGGAUGAAAGCAGGGGACCGCAAGGCCUUGCGCGGACGGAGCGGCCGAUGGCAGAUUAGGUAGUUGGUGGGAUAAAAGCUUACCAAGCCGACGAUCUGUAGCUGGUCUGAGAGGAUGAUCAGCCACACUGGGACUGAGACACGGCCCAGACUCCUACGGGAGGCAGCAGUGGGGAAUUUUGGACAACGGGCGCAAGCCUGAUCCAGCCAUGCCGCGUGCAGGAUGAAGGCCUUCGGGUUGUAAACUGCUUUUGUACGGAACGAAAAGCCUUCUUUUAAUACAGGAGGGUCAUGACGGUACCGUAAGAAUAAGCACCGGCUAACUACGUG
rnacentral:rRNA from 1 species